AUUUGUUACCUUCAUUUUACAAUAUUUUAUAUAUUUUUAAACUCAAUAGAGUAAAGUUUUUUUGUGUAAUGAGUAUUAUUGAUCUGUGUUUUUCAUAUUCAUUCCUUUUUACAGUAACCUUUUGUAUAUGAGAUUGUAGAUGAGAAUUUAAAUCGUGAUAUUGAAUCUUACCAGAGAAUAAAGAAACCGUUUACCUCAACCAGAGUUAUAUUUCAUAGAAUUAUGUUGACCAUGAUCCAAGUAUUGCCAUGGAUGUGCACUUGUGUCUUAGGCUUAUGCUUUGCAAAAGG